UACGAAGGGGGCUAGCGUUGUUCGGAAUCACUGGGCGUAAAGCGCACGUAGGCGGAUUUGUUAGUCAGGGGUGAAAUCCCGGGGCUCAACCUCGGAACUGCCUUUGAUACUGCAAGUCUCGAGUCCGAGAGAGGUGAGUGGAAUUCCUAGUGUAGAGGUGAAAUUCGUAGAUAUUAGGAAGAACACCAGUGGCGAAGGCGGCUCACUGGCUCGGUACUGACGCUGAGGUGCGAAAGCGUGGGGAGCAAACAGG
rnacentral:rRNA from 1 species